AGGGGAGACUGAGAUGAGCUCUUAGGCAGAAGCUCUUUGCUGUGAGGGUGUUGAGGCGCUGGCACAGGGUGCCCAGAGAAGCUGUGGCUGCCCCAUCCCUGGCAGUGUUCAAGGCAUCAGCUCCAUUUUCUCCCCCCUUCCUUUGCCACAUAACACAUACCCAGCAGCAGCUCACAGCCAGACCAAGCCAAAAGGACUGAGCAAUGGAGCACAGGGGUUAGAUUUCAUUUCUGGUAGCAGCAAUCGAAACAGGAAGGUUUGUCAAGUCUCUUUACAUGUUUGUGAAAGGUUUGGAGUUUUUUUAAAUAUCACUUUUUGGAGUGGUUUCAUGUCGUUGGCUUCUUUUGUUUCAGUAAAAUUAACUAUCAUCAUUUUCUUUGCAGUUUGUAAUUACAGCACCCUGAUGAUCUAUGAAGUGUUGGUAGCCUUGAGGAGUCUGGGUUGAAGCUGCUUGUUUGUCUGCAGUGUGUGGUAUCAGCAGAACUUGGGACUAUGUUUAGGGGAGCAGAAAGGAGCAAACUUUUGCUGGAGAACUGAAAUUGUGUUCUGAGUACAAAUACAAACAAAAGAAUGAUAAUGAAGAAAUACCUAAGGACUCAGCAAUCUGGGACAGAUAACAAGAUUUCAGUAUGUACUUCAAAUCUAAUCUCGAGUGAGCAAACAGCCUAAAUCUGCCUAAUAACAGUGGAUUAAAUUGUAGCUUAGCUAAGUAAUUAUUCCCUUUUUUUUUUCAGAGUAAAUUUAUCUUUCAUUGGGCCAUUACUUUAAAUUGCAAUGAUUUUAACUAUUGGAUUUUAAAUAUCUGUUCUGUUGGCUGAUGGAAACUAAGAUUGGUCUCCAUUUUUAGUUUUCAGUGUUGAAAACCCCAGCAGCACAGCUUGGUGCUAAUAUAACCACAACUGCUUCCUUACUAGACCUGCAUCUGUGAAUUUGCCAUCUUGGCUACUUCAGAGAGAUCUAGGUAGGCACUAAGUAUUGAGUAUUGAGGCAGAUGGACAUGGAUGGGCUGUGGUAGAAGCUGUAGGCAGACACCUUUCUGAUGGACACCCCAAAGUCUCUUCUAGCAUUUAGUCCAGGGAGACAGCACAUGGCAAACCCAGGUGAGGACCAGUACAACACAGUAAAAGGUAGGAGAUUCUAUACUAGCAGUUAAGCACAAGGCCAAGUUUGCUAAUGCUUGGGUGCAAACAUAGGCCAUGUUCUGGAGUCAUCAGAAGAAGGGAAUCAGGGUAUAUCUUAAGAUAGACCCACAGUUUUUAUGUCAUAGCUAAGCUUGGAUCACUUUUUUGGCUGAGUCCAAGCUGUGGUUUGGCUGGACCAAAAUUACACCCUUCUCUGUGAAUAAGUAUGAAGCUCUUGUUGCCCUACAACAUAACUGUAACUCCCAAUUCUUAUUCAAUGCCUGCAAUAACUUUAGGGGUUUGUUGCAGUCCAUCGGACAACAUAUCAUGCAGCAUGAUGUGGCUGCCUUGUUGGCCAUUGGUGGCAGGGGCUGCAGCUCUGCCUCUCGCUCAGUACAGUCGUACAGCACAGAUGGGCUCAGCCCUCUCCCCUACAUCACCUUGAAGAGAUUCAGAUAGAUGUGAGCAAAUGGAAUCCUUUGUGGACCUACUCCAUGGUUUUGCAGGCAGAGAGAGGCAAUGAUGGGGCAGAAACAGGCCUAAGCCUUGCUAAGGAGCACAUGAGCCUGAGUCAGCAUGUACCAGAAUGGAGUGAAUUCACUGAUUUGCCUUGCAAGUGAUUUCAGGCUUUGGAAGGAAAAAGAAAUCCUAACCCCGAGGAGCAGUGACUCAAGGGGUGUGCCUGUGGUCUGAUGCCUCCUAUGGCCAAUGCCUGCCGGGGAAUGUGCCCCCAACAUGGAAAUCUAACCCUGCAGUAAGCUGGCACGCUCACCCUCCUGCUAGCCUGAAGCCUCUGUGUAAACCAGAACCUGCCGAGACAAGUUUCAGAGGGUCACAGUCCAGCUGUUCAUCCCUGCAGCAACACUCAGAGCAAAUCUCCGCUCACCUCCACUUCAGGUCCAAGGACCACAUCUCAGAAUGGUUAUUUCAAGCUGGGCGGGAUCAGACAUCACCAGGGGUUGCUCCGGAGCCUAAUCACCCUUAUGGGGACAGACCAGAUGCCACAUGAAGGGUCACCCUAGAGGACCACUGCCACCACUUGAUGCCAUAACUUCUCCAGCCCCCAGCCCCACAGCAGCAUUAAAGAUACACGAGCCACUCACUGCUUCAGAUAACAGUUUAUUUUCUCUAGGGGUGUAAAAUGUGCAGCAGGUACA